GUGCCAUUUAAGAGCUCACUACCAGUAGGGAAGGAUCUCUUUCUGGAGAUCCCUCCUUUGGAGUUUUCUGGCAUGCCCAGGACAAGGGUGAGCACUCUAUUUAUUCUCUUUUGGUAUAGUAGUCUGCUUAGCCAAGCUAUAGGUCUUUUUUUAUUAUUUUAUUUAAUGAUGGUGUUAUUGGACUUACCCUAAUGUCAUUGAGCUGGUUUUAAUGACGAAGAUAAGCGACUGGUCCAAAACUACACAACUGCACUGAUGCUCAGAUAGCAAUGGGGACUUGCUUCAUCCAGUGCAGCACACCAUCGCUUUGCAUCACUCAGCUUGCAGUGGGAGAAGAUGAAGCCCAAGCCAAAUUCCCUCCUUUUGUUGUUAAACCUGGUGGUUCUGCUCUGAUUCUUGUUAUUGCUUCUGGCUGGAAGAUCUUGGGGGUUUGGCACCUCGCUGUUCACCUUUUAAAGAUUUUGAUUUCUUCAAAGAGGAAAGUUCCAGGAAAAAGCUGAAUGAAAUGGUUCAAGGUAGGAGCAGCGCCUUCCCACCUCAUGCCUUUACACUGCUAAUGCUGAUAAGAAACUCCUGGGAAACGCCUUUCUGAUGUUGUUUCAAAGGAAACUGUUUCCUCAAUGGAAUGUUGACUCUGAGAAAAUCC
rnacentral:lncRNA from 1 species